rnacentral:lncRNA from 1 species
AGCUUAAAUAAUACAGCUCGAGAGAAAUAUAUAUAUUUUGAAUCAACACCACAAAUAGAACAGCUCCACUCAGGAGGAGAGAGGAGGAGAAGCAGCAAGCAGGAGGCUUGUUGUUGCACCUUUCAUGGGUAGUCAGCCUCUUCUAUUUACAUAUACAGUGUGUGUGUGUGUGUGUGUGUGUCAGGAGGAGGAGAAGCAGCAAGCAGGAGGCUAGUUGUUGCACCUUCCAUGGUUAGUCAGCCUCUUCUAUUUACAUAUACAGUGUGUGUGUGUGUGUGUGUGUGUGUGUGUGUGUGUGUGUGUGUGUCAGGAGGAGGGAGGAGGAGAAGCAGCAAGCAGGAGGCUUGUUGUUGCAACUUCCAUGGUUAGUCAGCCUCUUCUAUUUACAUAUAUAUGUGUGUGUGUGUGUGUGUGUGUGUCAGGAGGAGGGAGGAGGAGAAGCAGCAAGCAGGAGGCUUGUUGUUGCGCCUUUCAUGGGUAGUCACAGUCAGCCUCUGCUAUACAUAUGUACUAGCUGUGCCUGGCCACGCGUUGCUGUGGCGAAGUAUGGUGGUAUGGGAAAUAAAGUAUCUUAUAUUAUCUGCUUAGAACUGGAUUAUAUGAGGCCCCUCCUACACAGCUGUAUAAAAUGUACACUGAAGUGGAUUAUAUGGCAGUGUGUAAUCAAGAUAAUCCAGUUCAAAGCAGAUAAUAUAGGAUUAUAAAUGGGUUAUAUAGCUGUGUGGAAGGGCCUUGAGUCUGCACUGCGAUAUAAUCCAGUUAAAAUCAGAUAAUAUGUAUUUUAUAAGCAGUGUGGAAGAGGCCUAAGUAAGGCCUAACUCUGCCUGUCCAUGGGCUGAGUGGGUUGCUAGGAGACCAAGUGGGCAGAGCUUAGCCUUCUAACUGGCACCAAUUGGCUAAAAACAAUUAUUCCUCUCUUUCUAAUUAGGACUUUAUUUUUCUUUUCUUUUUGUUGUAUGAACGUAGAGGCAUGGAUGAAGGGUUGUGCUGCCAAGUUUAGUGUUUCUGGGAUGUGUAGUUUUGUUGUUUUGUCCUAGGCCGAAAUUUCAUUAUCCUUUUAUAUAUAUACUAGCUGUGCCCGGCCACGUGUUGCUGUGGCAUUGUCUGGUGGUGUUGGUGAGAAAUUGUUGAGGUAGUAGUGGUAUUGAAUGUGUGUUGUAUGGUUGUCUUUAUGUUUAGUAUGCACACUGAAGUGGAUUAUACGGCAAUGUGGAGUCAAGAUAAUCCAGUUCAAAGCAGAUAAUAUAAGAUUCUAAAUGGGUUAUAUAGCUGUGUGGAAGAGCCUUGAGUCUACACUGCCAUAUAAUCCAGUUAAAAUCUGAUAACCUGUGGAAGAGGCCUAAAUGAGGCCUAACUGUGCCUGUCCCCUGGGCUGAAGAGGUCGCUAGGAGACCAAGUGGGCGGAGCUUAACCUUCAAACUGGCAGCAAUUGGAUAAAAACAAUUAUUCCUCUCCCUCUAAUUAGGACUUUAUUUUUCUUUUCUUUUUGUUGUAUCAACCUAGAGGCAUGGAUGAGGGGUUGUGAUGUCAAUUUUCGAGGUUGUGGGCUGUUUACUUUUGUUGUUUUGUCCGCUGCCGUGAUGCCAUAUAUAUAUAUAUAUAGAGAGAGAGAGAGAGAGAGAGAGAGAGCGAGAGCGAGCCCCGGUGGUGAAGUGUGUUAAAGCGCUGAGCUGCUGAACUUGCAGACCGAAAUAAUGUUAUGUUGUAAUUACUGUAUUGAUACAUUUAGCACCAAAAUAUCAGGAUAUAUUGAAAACACUGAUUACAAA